UGAGUGGCGUUGUACCGGUGCAAACCGGUAUCUUUUGUACUUCAUUCUAGAGUAUCGCGUUUAUAUAUGCUAACUGCAAAAUAUAUUUUAGGAUCUUUUUCAAUACUGUUAAAAAGUUAUCAUUCCAUAUCUUUCAAAUAUAGCAUAGAAUCCAUGUGAACUGAUAAUCGUCUACGAUGUUAUUCUCAAAAAUAUACUUAUAAUUCAUACAGGCUAAAGCUAAUUGUAGAGAAAAUUUACAUGGAUUCGUAGGGAUCCUUGAUAAAGUUCAUAUUUGAAUUGUUGAAGAACAUUCAAAGUCAAAUUAUUAUUGUUGUUG
rnacentral:lncRNA from 1 species